AUUGAAACACCGAUUCCCGUACGAUCAGUGAAGUUAAGCAACGUCGAGCCAGGUUAUUACUUAGGUGGGUGACAGCUUGGGAAUACCAGGCGCUGUAAU